rnacentral:rRNA from 1 species
GACGAACGCUGGCGGCGUGCUUAACACAUGCAAGUCGAACGGAAAGGCCUGCUUUCCCUUGUGGAUUGCGGGUACUCGAGUGGCGAACGGGUGAGUAACACGUGAGUGAUCUGCCCCCAACUUGGGUAUAAGCCUGGGAAACUGGGUCUAAUUCCCGAUAGGACUGCAGGGUGGUGCCUGUGGUGGAAAACGAUUUUCUAGUGGUUGGGGAUGAGCUCGCGGCCUAUCAGCUUGUUGGUGGGGUAAUGGCCUACCAAGGCGGCGACGGGUAGCCGGCCUGGGAGGGUGGACGGCCACAUUGGGACUGAGAUACGGCCCCGACUCCUACGGGCGGCAGCCGUGGGGAAUAUUGCACAAUGGGCGGAAGCCUGAUGCAGCGACGCAGCGUGGGGGAUGACGGCCUUCGGGUUGUAAACUCCUUUCGACCGCGAGGAAGCCACCUGGUUGGAAGGGUGGUGACGGUAGUGGUAGAAGAAGCACCGGCUAACUACGUG